rnacentral:rRNA from 1 species
CGCUGACGAGUGGCGGACGGGUGAGUAAUGUCUGGGAAACUGCCUGAUGGAGGGGGAUAACUACUGGAAACGGUAGCUAAUACCGCAUAACGUCGCAAGACCAAAGAGGGGGACCUUCGGGCCUCUUGCCAUCAGAUGUGCCCAGAUGGGAUUAGCUAGUAGGUGGGGUAACGGCUCACCUAGGCGACGAUCCCUAGCUGGUCUGAGAGGAUGACCAGCCACACUGGAACUGAGACACGGUCCAGACUCCUACGGGAGGCAGCAGUGGGGAAUAUUGCACAAUGGGCGCAAGCCUGAUGCAGCCAUGCCGCGUGUAUGAAGAAGGCCUUCGGGUUGUAAAGUACUUUCAGCGGGGAGGAAGGGAGUAAAGUUAAUACCUUUGCUCAUUGACGUUACCCGCAGAAGAAGCACCGGCUAACUCCGUG